CGACACACACUGACUCAACCACGCCAGGAAUACACCAUGACGUGUUUAUUUCCAACACUGGCGAGCACAUGGCGUUGCCAUCGUUGUCUUGGUGGGUUUCCCUCCAAACCAAGCACGUCACCCUUCUCCCUGCGCCUUACUGACUCCGUUUUCCCCAUCAUACACAACAAGGAACCGACCGAACAUCGCUGCGUCAUCUCGGUGUUGCCGUUUUUCACGCAGGCUCAGAGCACGGCCGCUGGAUCGCGUCGCCGUUCCCGCCGCCUCUAGGCAAAUCCGGAUGAGCUGCUGCACCACUAGCUUCGCCUCAUCAUCCUCUCCGAAACGCCCCAAGAAUCCCUAAGAAUGGUGCAUCGAGGAGGGAGAUCGACCACCGUCUUGUCUGACUCCGACCUAGUGCCUCCGUCGUCGAUUCCCAUCCAACCGAUCCAGCCAUCGCUGAGUCGCCGGUCUACUCCACCGCCACCCUCGCUGCCCAACCUCUCCGGAGCUCGUCCACCCUUGGCCGACCUCUUGAUGGUGUAUUUGUGGAUUCGUUCGUGAUGUGAGCAGGACCAGAGAAGUAUUAUGUGACAACAAAUCAAGGCAAGCCCUAUUCAAUUCCUCCUUCGAUCAUGUUGAAUCCUAUAUGUUGCAAAUGCUUUGUUAUUUAUAAAUUGCAUGAGAUGUUUUAAACUUGGGUUAUGGUAGAACGACUCCGUCUUGUUGCAUUGUCUACCUUGACUUAUUGAUUAUCCUUGCUGUUGAUACACCUAGGAUGGGUUGUGGUGUUGUCUAAGCACCAAUGUGGGUAUAUUCGAGCUAAUACUAAAGCUACUUGCUUAGCCAUGCUUAGAAAAUUUACGAUGGUUACAACUACAUGGUAUUUACUCUUUAAACUCGGGAUAUUUGGAAAUAUUGUUAAGAGGGGUUGCCUCUGUUAUUUGUGAAAAAAGAAAACUGACAAUGAUGAUUUUAGAUUAGGGCGGCAAAUGAUGUGCAUAUGGUGGUAGUUGCAUAUCGACAGUGGCGGAGCUGGAACCAUAUUGAGGGUGGUGCCCUACUUUACUAUAUAGAUGGCGGCAAUUACUCUAAAUAAUGGUAUUUUUUCAUUUAUAGAUAACUAUUGACACAAAAAAUCAUGGAGUAGCAAGUAAAAGUGCUUACCAAAAUAUAGGAUGAAAAUAAACCGCGAAGGAGAACAUCAACAAAAAAUAAAAGACGAUCAAUUUAUGCAAAAUACACCCUCGGCCUCAAAGCUGUCAAUCUCAAUAUCAUCGAUAGGUAAUAGCCUACAAUAAAAGUAGAAGAAAGGCAAAUAAGUGUAGUGAAUUUCCUGAUGGAGCUCCGGUUUGUGCGGGCGAUUCCUGAGGCGAUCCAUGGAGUCCUCUGAUUUUGACCAUGGUUACGCCGUCUCCUCCAGGGGGAUGGGACUUCUCCCCUGGUGAUCGGAUUCACGAUGAAGUCUUCUCUAGGUUCUCUUCUCCUGUGCAUUUCUCUCGUUUCUUCUCCCGUCGGCCUUUUUAGCUUGUGGUCGA